GCCAGGAUAGCUCAACGGCAGAGCGGGCGUCUCAUAAGCGCCAUACAAGGGUUCGACUCCCUUUCCCGGCA
rfam:Parcubacteria bacterium GW2011_GWA2_40_8 TT22_C0030, whole genome shotgun sequence.